rnacentral:rRNA from 1 species
GACGAACGCUGGCGGCGUGCUUAACACAUGCAAGUCGAACGGAAAGACCCUGCGUUUGUGGGGUUCUCGUGUGGCGAACGCGUGAGUAACACGUGUGUAACCUGCCCUUGACUUUGGGAUAACUUCACGAGACUGGGGCUAAUACCCCAUAUGAUCUCCUGCUGCAUGGUGGGGGUUGGUAAGUGUCGGCGGUUGGGGAUGGACUCGCUGCUUAUCAGCUUGUUUGUGGGGUAGGGGCUGACCAGGGCUUUGACGGGUAGCCUGCAUGAGAGGGUGACCGGCCACAAUGGGACUGAGAGACGGACCAGAAUGGUACGGGAGGCAGUAGUGGGGAAUCUGGCAGAGUGGGCGGAAGCCUGAUGUAGCGACGUCGCGAGCGGGAUGACGGGCUUCGGGGUGUAAACAGCUUUCGAAUGAGACGAAGCGUGAGUGACGGUAAUGGGUAAAGAAGCACCGGCUAACUACGUG